ACAUGCAAGUCGAGCGGGGUUUUCGGGACCUAGCGGCGGACGGGUGAGUAAUGCGUAGGAAGCUACCCGACAGAGGGGGAUACCAGUUGGAAACGACUGUUAAUACCGCAUAAUGUCUACGGACCAAAGUGUGGGACCUUCGGGCCACAUGCUGUCGGAUGCGCCUACGUGGGAUUAGCUAGUUGGUGAGGUAAUGGCUCACCAAGGCGACGAUCCCUAGCUGGUUUGAGAGGAUGAUCAGCCACACUGGAACUGAGACACGGUCCAGACUCCUACGGGAGGCAGCAGUGGGGAAUAUUGGACAAUGGGCGCAAGCCUGAUCCAGCCAUGCCGCGUGUGUGAAGAAGGCCUUCGGGUUGUAAAGCACUUUCAGCGAGGAGGAAGGGUUGUGUGUUAAUAGCACAUAGCCUUGACGUUACUCGCAGAAGAAGCACUGGCUAACUCUGUG
rnacentral:rRNA from 1 species